GAUAAUGCAGACAACCCUCUAUGCUUAGGAACAUAGAUACACCAUGAAUCAACCCACAGGUACUACGCAGAGAAAUUAACUUCACCCAUCACAUAUAAUGUGGCUAUCACACUGUAGUUACUAUGGCUGCUAUUAACAGAAUCAGCACACAUUUACAAGGCAAACCAGGUCUCAAGAAAGGACUUGUCAGUACCACUGAAGUACACACAAUGAAGUCUUGGUGUAAGCGAAUGGUAAUUUUAGUUUCAGUUACAGAAGAGAGACUUUGACAAGUUUGACUAACUCUUUUGCAGGUAACUGAGCCUUCCCUACACCAUACUUUCUGCAGUGCUUUUACUUCUAGUUUUAAGUGUCUCAAGGAGUUAUACUACAUAGUAGUACUUCACAAGGUUCUUUUCUUGGAAAGCGAAGGAAAGGAAAAGCAAAGCAGAUGUGAGACUAAUGCUAUCGAUCUCACGCAGCCAACUGCCACCCUGCCUGCCCACAGAUAUAGAAUACAAAGUAUGAGGAUAUUCUUGAGAAUAUAUGUUUACGUACAUUUUACUUUUUCAGCUGCUAAGGUCCUAGUCAUUCCUACUAAGAGACAGGAGCUUUCAGGCCGUGACUGACCCUUCUGUGUCCCACAGCUCACAUGAAGUCCUGCAGAUAGUUGCAGUCCUAGGAAGAUGCCUGGGUCCCUUUACACUGGACAAAUAAGGCUUUGCAUAGUUCAAAAUUUAAAUACAUACUGGCCUCUUGUGGGCUGUGUUGUUACAUCCUUUACACUGGCUUCACCAGUUUCGCAUUCUUGUGGUAACAGGACAAUAAAACUUCAAGUAUGAGGCUAAAAGGAGUAAACCUUCUGUAGACCAAAAGGAUACCUUUUUAUUUAAAAAUAAACAUUAACUCCUCAAUCCCAGGUUUUCUUACAAUUGACUGUUACACCACUUCAAAACUUUUAUCAAAGGCAGACUAUUAAACAGUUUACCAGUCUUGUUUUUCAGGUUAAAACCAAAAUAUGUGGGUCCAGGUUUCAAACAGUUGAACAUUCAACAAAUCCUGCUUUGGUGUUUAAGUCAGUCCCCAGUGCUCCUUUCACACCUCAGCACAGGCAGCAGUUUCUGCCAUUUCCAAGGACAGCCAGUUCAUUCAGUUAUUCAAGCAGGGACUAGGCUUUUUAGAAAAUCAGUUCAUAGUGUUAGAUUACAGACGGCAUUCUUUAAUCAAUUCUCUCCUUAAUAAGUGUGAGAUUCUCUCACCCUUCUUCAUAUGGAGAAGGACUUCAUUCCUAACAAGCAAGGUACUUCUCAAGAAGAGAAUGAAUUACAGAUCUCAGCCUGUGCAUUUAGCUCUCUUUUACUUUACUUAGCAGCAGCAGUGCUGAAAUAGAGCAGGUACAAGCAGCCUUUUUAUAUGUAUACGGGUCUACCCAUUCUGAAGGACACAAACUACAUAGCUGGCUUGCAACAACGGCCGAACCAGUGGCAAUAAAUUGCUUCUCUUAACUGACCGCAUUUGAUUUCUGUUUGGAACAGACUGCUGUUAUCUAUUCCAUAUUUAUGUUAAAUUCAAAUGAAAAGGGAGUCUAGCGCAGGAGGCACCUGGGAUAUCCUUUGCAAAACACAGGAACAUAGAAAACCAAAGGACGUAAAAAUCUAGAGGCUGACAGGAAUAAUUCUAGGGGUAAACUCUAGGAAAAGCAAUGGCAAAAACCCCAGGGAAUAUACCAGUUUUCAUAAUUAUUUUAGAUGAUUCUAAAAAAGAAAGGAGAAGGUAAAAAAAUUAACAAAAAUCAAGAAAAAGAUGUGCAGAGGCUGAAACAUUGUCAACUUUUGCAGUGAGCAAAAAAUACCAUAUACAGACAGCAAAAAUAAACACAUGCCUGUAGUUCACAGGCUAAAGAGGGAUUCCAGCACAACAGGAGGCUUUGUACUCCCUUCUCUAGAAAUUAGUGUUGUUAUUAACAUAGAUGUAUUUAUCAAAUCAGAAGUGUGUGGAAAUGAGAUCGGUCAUGGUGUAAAGUUGGUAAGGUAUGACUUAUUGCUCGCCUAAUAAAUCUAUCAAGGAACCAACCUUCACUUACCACUUCAAUAGUCUAAUUCAGAAACUUAGAUACAGAAAAACCUGGUAUCUAGGCUGGAAGUCACAUUUUCCCCAACAAAAACAAACCACUGCCAACCCAAUCCAAUUCCUCCCACCUAUCCAAACUGACUCAAAAACCAAGCAGUCCCUUUCCAUGUUCAUUUCACAGUGCUUGUGAGUCCUCCGUCAUACUUCUGUUCUUACACCAGCUACCGUGGCACACUGAGUAGGCACAUGUGUAUGCACACACAUGCACACACACUGCUGUGGGUAAAAACCAAUGCAUAUGAAUGAGAAGAUCUUUCAGUUUGGAUCAUUAAGCCUGGCUGCACUGCUGGACAUAGGCCUCAGAAAGGGGAGGAGUGACUCUGAAUGAUCUCUUAAUUACCCUGAUCAUUGUUAUAGCUAAGUGUUUGCUUUCCAUAUUCCUCACAACAGCCUAAAGACCAAGAUGACGACAGUGGAUUUAGUAAAACCAAUCAAUCACAUCCGGUUUUCCUUCUUUUGAGACAAAAGGAGUCAAAGGACUCCUGAGCUGCCCUACGUUAUCCUAAGUUGAUAGUCACUCUCGCAGACAUCAGUAAAUAUACAUCUACGUACCUGGCAGAAGAAAGAAGGUUAUCUCCAAUGUAUCUCAGAAAAAGUGUUUUAACAAAUUGUAAAUUUACCAUUUCCCUUUGUUUAAAAUGGUUUCCAGGGAAAGAACACAUCAAAAAUAAUGUGACACUCUACCAUACAUGACUUCUAGGUAGCUGACAUUUCAGAAUAAUUUGACCAAGUCAUCUUUAUCUUAAUCCUUCAGAGAGUCAGACAUGUGCUUUACCUGGGGACAGCUCUUGCUCUCAAGUGCAACCUUAGUUUCUGUUUUUACACAACCCUGUGUAUCUGCUGAUCUCAGAGUACCUAACAAAAGGACAGAACAUGUCAUUAGCGUGUUACCAUGACAGAAACAUAAACAGGAUAACACUGCUUAAGUGUGAUGGUCAAUGACCAAAUGACCAGCGAACAAGUGAGGCACUGAGCUAGGCUCUGCCCUGUUCAUGAAA